AGAGAGAGACAUGCGCGCAUAUCAAUAAGCGGAGGAAAAGAAACUAACAAGGAUUCCCUUAGUAACGGCGAGUGAAGCGGGAAGAGCUCAAAUUUGAAAUCUUCAAGGUUUUACCUUGACGAAUUGUAGUUUAAAGAAGUGUUUUUCUGCUGAAGUUUUGGUAAAAGUUCUUUGGAAUAGGACAUCAUAGAGGGUGAGAAUCCCGUAUUUGACCAUUAUUUUCAGCUUUGUGAUACACUUUCAAAGAGUCGGAUUGUUUGGGAAUGCAGUCCAAAAUGGGUGGUAAAUUUCAUCUAAAGCUAAAUAUUGGCGAGAGACCGAUAGCGAACAAGUACCGUGAGGGAAAGAUGAAAAGAACUUUGAAAAGAGAGUUAAACAGUACGUGAAAUUGUCAAAAGGGAAGCGUUUGACACCAGUGUUGUUUUCUCGAAAAUCAAUUAAAAAUGGCUCGAUUUUGUAUUGCUUGAGACCUUAAAAGCAUCACUGUACAUUUUUCGUGUCUUUUUUAAUGCACUUUUCGUUUAACAAGUCAACAUCAGUUUCUUUUGUUGUAAAAGGGUCAUUGGAAGGUGGCUUUCUUUUCGGAGAAAGUGUUUAUAGCCUUUGGCCUCUGCAAUCGGAGAGACUGAGGUCUGCAGCGUAGACUCUUCGGGGUUAGAUACAUUUGUGCUAAGUUAUAGCUUUUUAUAGACAACUUGUUGACUAUAAUUAGUCUUGUAGCUUACUCGCUUAUGCUAUUUUACCUACGCUUAGGAUGUUGAGUCGUAGAGCACGCAG
rnacentral:rRNA from 1 species